AUGUGUGUGCCGAAAGAGAAGGGUGGAAUGGGUUUCAGAGAUAUACAUAGUUUUAACAUGGCCUUGCUAGCUAAGCAGGUUUGGAGGCUUAUUCAGAAUUAUGAUUCUCUUUGUGCAAAAGUUCUCAGAUCGAGAUACUACUCGAAUGGAGAUAUACUCCACUGUGAGCUAAAGAAGGGCUCUUCGUUCAUAUGGCAGAGCAUUUGGGCGGGGAUCCAAGUUUUUAAGAAGGGUCACAUUUGGUGA
rnacentral:rRNA from 1 species